rnacentral:rRNA from 1 species
AUUGAACGCUGGCGGCAUGCUUUACACAUGCAAGUCGAACGGGGUGGAGGGGCAACUCUCCAUUCAGUGGCGAACGGGUGAGUAAUGCAUCGGAACGUGUCCCGUAGUGGGGGAUAACGCCGCGAAAGCGGCGCUAAUACCGCAUACGCUCUACGGAGGAAAGCAGGGGACCCGCGAGGGCCUUGUGCUAGGGGGGCGGCCGAUGUCCGAUUAGCUUGUUGGUGGGGUAAUGGCCCACCAAGGCGACGAUCGGUAGCUGGUCUGAGAGGAUGAUCAGCCACACUGGGACUGAGAUACGGCCCAGACUCCUACGGGAGGCAGCAGUGGGGAACUUUGGACAAUGGGGGCAACCCUGAUCCAGCCAUGCCGCGUGCGGGAAGAAGGCCUUCGGGUUGUAAACCGCUUUUAGCCGGGACGAAAGCUCUACGGAUAACACCCGUGGGGGUUGACGGUACCGGCAGAAUAAGCACCGGCUAACUACGUGCCAGCAGCCGCCGUAACAC